GUAGUCCACGCCCUAAACGAUGUCAACUGGUUGUUGGUGGGGUUAAACCCAUUAGUAACGAAGCUAACGCGUGAAGUUGACCGCCUGGGGAGUACGGCCGCAAGGUUAAAACUCAAAGGAAUUGACGGGGACCCGCACAAGCGGUGGAUGAUGUGGAUUAAUUCGAUGCAACGCGAAGAACCUUACCUACCCUUGACAUGCCAGGAAGUCCGCUGAGAGGUGGAUGUGCCCGAAAGGGAACCUGGACACAGGUGCUGCAUGGCUGUCGUCAGCUCGUGUCGUGAGAUGUUGGGUUAAG
rnacentral:rRNA from 1 species